AUAUUUCUGUGGAUUCUUAUGUUCCUACCUAUUGUCCUAAGGUUCAAAUUAAAUGUUCAAAAGAUGUAAAAUUAGUAACAUAAUGAAGUAUGACAGGUUAUAUAGACAAGUGUGCCCUGAAUACCAAACAAGAAUUUCAGUUGUAUAUUUGAAAAAUAAAAAUGUACUUGAGAGAUGCAUCUGUGAGUAAAGUCACAUGUUGUCAAGUUGGAUCCCUGAGACUCACAGCAGGUUUAUCUCUGACCUCCAUAAGCAUACCAUGGUAUGCAUAUAGAAACACACACACACACACACACACACAUACAACUCACACUCACACUCAUCUCGCACCUCCUACAGACACAAAUGCAUAAGUAUAAACAUUAAAUAUUAGUGAAUGAAGUAAUAAAUAACAUCAAUUAAUUCACUAAGCUCUAUUGAGUGAUUACUGGUCAGUUUAAGUUUAAAUUUUAUUUGUAUAAGAGCUCAGAUUGGCAUUUAUUUUUCAGUGUAUAGAUAUGUAUAUGUUCAUGUAUCCAUGCACACAUUCAUAUGGAUGCCAUAUGGUUGAUAUUGUGUAUCUUUGUCACUCUCUCUACCUUGUAUUUAGGAUAAGAUCUCUCCUUGAGCCAGAAGGUCAUUGACUUUGCUAGGCUGGCUGGCCAGCACACCCCAGGAAUUGUCCCAUCUCCAUCCCUCCAGUGCUAGGAUAAGGAUGGAGCUCCUAUCUCCAUGCUUACACUGCAAGUACUUCAUCAGCUGGGCCGCAUCUCCAGUGUUCCAAAUGUACUUUGUUAAGGUGUUGUGUAACUCUAUCAUUUUUGAGAAUUAUCACUUGGUUUGAGAAUUAAUCAGGCAUGUCUGAAAAUUAACUGAGUUUUGAGUAUACUUUCAGCUUCUAGCUCUGAAUUAAUGGUACUUCACUGGUCCUAUCAUGCUUGACUGAUUCUAAUGUCUUUAAAGAAUGAUAGUGUAUAACUGUAUCUUUUAAAGAACAUAAAAUUAAGGUUGGUUACACAAAUUUAUUCUCUCAUUAAUGAGAUUUUUUUUUUUUGCUUCCUGUAAAUAGAACUAUUCUUGCAAUUUGUGUUGAGCAACAUACCAAACCAGAGGAAAUGUCUAUUUGAAUGUGUAUCUCAAGGAUAUCACAAUAAUUUUGCUAGCCUACACAUAAGAAUAUAACUUAGUUUGCAGAGUCUAAUGCCUUAAAAUACUGAAUUUUGAGCUUUCUUGACUUCUGCUUGUUCUAUGUUCUUAAGGAAUUUAAAAGAUUUACUAUCAUUUUAUUUAUUGUAUACAUAAAUAUAUUUGUGGAAGUUCUGUACUUGACCCUCUAUAGCAUUUUAUAGAGGUAUGAACACACAGGAAGAGGCUAAAUUCUUGUAAACCUUUAAUAUUAUCCAAUAAAACAAAAUUUCAUAAGUUUGUUGGCAAUAUUUCGGUAUUUCAAAGCACCUGGCCAUAAAGCAGAUUUGGGCAUUCGUUUGUAGCUGUCAGGGUAUCAUAAACCUCUCACUCUCAGGUUUUACAUUUUACUGACUUUUUACUGUGUUUAUUCACUUGCAAAUAGUACAUUAAACAUAUUUUGAUGUCAUAUGAAUAAUACACAACUAGGAACCAAUGGCAGCUAAAGAUACCCUUUUGAUCACGGAGGAAAUCAGUUCUGAUUGGUUGAAAGAGAAAAGGAUAUGAUAUUCACAAAUGAGGCAAAGUAUUAUCAUCUUUUAUUUCGAUUUUAGAAGAUUUCCAGGUUAACUGUGUAUAGAUCACAGGGUGAUACUUUUUAAGGAAAGUUAUCUAGACAGCACCUGUUCCUUACAAAACUAAUUAUGGUUAACUCAUAAAAGUGCAUAGAAUCUUUUGCAGGACCUUGACCUUAAAGGAUGAAGCUGUUGUCCACUGAGUCCUCAGAACAUGAAAAUGAUAAGUACUAGACAAGGGGAAAGGCACAUCUUAGUUAAAAGUCUUUUCUUGGUCCUGGAGAGAGAGAUCAAUGGUGAAGAGCAUCUAUUGCUCUUGCAAAGGACCUGGGUUUGGUUGAUGUCCACCAUCUCACAAACAUCAGUCACUCCAGUUUUAGGAGGAUACAAGUCCCUCUUUUGGUCAGUAAUUAAUGAGCUAAUUAACUAACAAGUCUUCACUUAUUUAGCUAAAGUCAGGGUGGUUUGUGGAAUGGAAGACCCAAGUAACUGAAGGGGGAGAGAUGCACACACUUGGUACUCAUUCCCACAGGUAGGCAAGCACUCAAUUCAUUGGGGUGGAGGGAGGGGGGCGUAAACUGAGAAACAGUUGAAUUUGGAUUUCAGGGAAUCAUGAGGAAUCCAUUAAUGUAAAGCUGCUGCCAGAGUUUCACGUGGAGGCAGAAUGUUCUAGAUGAUCCCUGUCUCUUCUCCACUGAGGAAGUAGUUUGUUGCCUUCCUGUAAGCUCGGUUAAUAUAAACAGACUCUGGUUGUAUCAGG
ensembl:processed_transcript